AUGAAUGCUGGCGGCGUGUCUAAGGCAUGCAAGUCGAACGGACAUCAUUAAGUAGCAAUACAAGGUGAUGUUAGUGGCAAACGGGAGCGUAACACAUUGGUAACCUACCUCGCACUCGCGAAUAACUAUUGGAAACGAUAGCUAAUACGCGAUAUUAUUCCACACUCUUAUGAGUGAGGCAUGAAAGAUUUAUCGGUGCGAGAGGGACCUAUGGUCCAUCAGGUAGUUGGCGGGGUAAUGGCCCACCAAGCCUAUGACGGAUACCAGGCGCGAGAGCGUGACCUGGCUCAUUGGAACUGAGACACUGUCCAAACACCUACGGGUGGCUGCAGUCGAGAAUAUUCCGCAAUGCACGAAAGUGUGACGGAGCGACGCCGCGUGCCGAAUGAAGGCCUUCGGGUCGUAAACGGCUUUUAUCGGGGACGAAUUUUGACGGUACCCGAUGAAUAAGGGGUUGCUAACUCUGU
rnacentral:rRNA from 1 species